GUAGUCUCGCACAGAUGCAUAUCAAUAAGCGGAGGAAAAGAAACUAACAAGGAUUCCCCUAGUAACGGCGAGUGAAGCGGGAAGAGCUCAAAUUUGAAAUCUUAAAGGGUUUCCCUUUACGAAUUGUAGUUUAAAGAAGUGUUUUCUGUUGAGGUUUUGGUAAAAGUUCUUUGGAAUAGGACAUCAUAGAGGGUGAGAAUCCCGUAUUUGACCUUUACUUUCAACUUUGUGAUACACUUUCAAAGAGUCGGAUUGUUUGGGAAUGCAGUCCAAAAUGGGUGGUAAAUUUCAUCUAAAGCUAAAUAUUGGCGAGAGACCGAUAGCGAACAAGUACCGUGAGGGAAAGAUGAAAAGAACUUUGAAAAGAGAGUUAAACAGUACGUGAAACUGUCAAAAGGGAAGCGUUUGACACCAGUGUUGUUUUUCUGAAAAUCAAUUAAAGAACUGUUUAUGCUAAGUUGUUUAGACUUUAUCAGUUAACUGUUUAGUUUUGAGCUUUUCUUUAAUGCACUUUUCAGUUAACAAGUCAACAUCAAUUUCUUUUGCUGUAAAAAAGCUUGAGGAAGGUGGCUUGAGAUUCGUCUUAAGUGUUUAUAGCCUCUUGCCUAUGCAGUCGGAGAGAUUGAGGUCUGCAGCGUAGAUCCUUCGGGGCUAAAUGCAUUUGUGCUAAGUUAUAGCAUUUUAUAGACAACUUGUUGACUAUGAUUUGUCUUGUAGCUUACUCGCUUAUGUCAUUUUACCUACGCUUAGGAUGUUGAUCUGUAGUGCGUGCG
rnacentral:rRNA from 1 species